GGGAAGCUGUGAUCUAUUUAGCUAUAUUUGCCUAGGCCUGGUCCUGGAUAUUCCAGUUCACAUUUUUAUGUUUCCCCUGAUUUAACACACCAGACUCAAUUUAUUGGAUAAUUUAUUAAAUCCUUUAUGAACUUAGUAUGGAUUUGUUAAAGAAGGAAAACAACUCGACACCUGAUUAUUAUAUUAAACUUAGUGGUUUUGUGAGCAACCAACUGGACCAUUAAUGGUGAAUGCUGACAGGCUUAUUCCUCCCUGGUGAAACAUAUCUGAGGGAAAACGAUCCUCAUGGACAAGAGUUUUGGCAUGGAGUGCAUUAUCCAAAAUUCUCAGUACAUUUCAGAAACCAGUGUGAAUGAGAACCAGAUUGAAGGAUAUUUCAGUGACAGCCCUAUGGUUAACUCCUCAGUCUGUGACUUAUCAGAUGAAGAGAUUUCAACAAAGAAAGAGAAGCACUUGAGGCUCGGCCCUGAAGACCUCAACGACACAGUUCCCUAUGAUGAGUGAAUCAUGGCGUCCAUACGGGUAUACCUAAUGGAUUCCUAAUAGAUUUCUAAACUCCUAUGGAUUGUUUUUAUUUAAUUUCAUUAAAUUAAACUCUAUUUCUAAUAAAAAUUUGAUAAUAUUCCA